rnacentral:rRNA from 1 species
UACGGAGGAUCCAAGCGUUAUCCGGAAUCAUUGGGUUUAAAGGGUCCGUAGGCGGUUUGGUAAGUCAGUGGUGAAAGCCCAUCGCUCAACGGUGGAACGGCCAUUGAUACUGCCAGACUUGAAUUAUUAGGAAGUAACUAGAAUAUGUAGUGUAGCGGUGAAAUGCUUAGAGAUUACACGUGAAUACCAAUGCGUAAGGCAGGUUACUACUAAUGGAUUGACGCUGAUGGACGAAAGCGUGGGUAGCGAACAGG